AUCGGUUUUGCCCAGCAUAUAGAGCAAAACCGAUUUAGGCUCAUAAAGUAAGACUAACACAGAGGGCAGAGAGUUGGGAAUGAAGAAAAUAACUUAGUGGCGAACGGGUGAGUAACGCGUGAGUAACCUGCCCUGGAGUGGGGGACAACAGUUGGAAACGACUGCUAAUACCGCAUAAGCCCACGGAUUCGCAUGGAUCUGCGGGAAAAGGAUUUAUUCGCUUCAGGAUGGACUCGCGUCCAAUUAGCUAGUUGGUGAGGUAACGGCCCACCAAGGCGACGAUUGGUAGCCGGACUGAGAGGUUGAACGGCCACAUUGGGACUGAGACACGGCCCAGACUCCUACGGGAGGCAGCAGUGGGGGAUAUUGCACAAUGGGGGAAACCCUGAUGCAGCGACGCCGCGUGGAGGAAGAAGGUUUUCGGAUUGUAAACUCCUGUCGUUAGGGACGAUAAUGACGGUAUCUAACAAGAAAGCACCGGCUAACUACGUGCCAGCAGCCGCGGUAAAACGUAGGGUGCAAGCGUUGUCCGGAAUUACUGGGUGUAAAGGGAGCGCAGGCGGACCGGCAAGUUGGAAGUGAAAACUAUGGGUUCAACCCAUAAAUUGCUUUCAAAACUGCUGGCCUUGAGUAGUGCAGAGGUAGGUGGAAUUCCCGGUGUAGCGGUGGAAUGCGUAGAUAUCGGGAGGAACACCAGUGGCGAAGGCGACCUACUGGGCACCAACUGACGCUGAGGCUCGAAAGCAUGGGUAGCAAACAGGAUUAGAUACCCUGGUAGUCCAUGCCGUAAACGAUGAUUACUAGGUGUUGGAGGAUUGACCCCUUCAGUGCCGCAGUUAACACAAUAAGUAAUCCACCUGGGGAGUACGGCCGCAAGGUUGAAACUCAAAGGAAUUGACGGGGGCCCGCACAAGCAGUGGAGUAUGUGGUUUAAUUCGAAGCAACGCGAAGAACCUUACCAGGUCUUGACAUCGAGUGCAUAACUAAGAGAUUAGUGAAAUCCCUUCGGGGACACUUAGACAGGUGGUGCAUGGUUGUCGUCAGCUCGUGUCGUGAGAUGUUGGGUUAAGUCCCGCAACGAGCGCAACCCUUACCUUUAGUUGCUACGCAAGAGCACUCUAAAGGGACUGCCGUUGACAAAACGGAGGAAGGUGGGGAUGACGUCAAAUCAUCAUGCCCCUUAUGACCUGGGCUACACACGUACUACAAUGGCAAUCAACAAAGAGAAGCAAGACAGUGAUGUGGAGCAAAUCUCAAAAAAUUGUCCCAGUUCAGAUUGUAGGCUGCAACUCGCCUACAUGAAGUCGGAAUUGCUAGUAAUCGCGGAUCAGAAUGCCGCGGUGAAUACGUUCCCGGGCCUUGUACACACCGCCCGUCACACCAUGGGAGUCGGUAACACCCGAAGUCGGUAGUCUAACAGCAAUGAGGACGCCGCCGAAGGUGGGGUUGAUGACUGGGGUGAAGUCGUAACUAGGUA
rnacentral:rRNA from 1 species